rnacentral:rRNA from 1 species
GAUAACUCCGGGAAACCGGUGCUAAUACCCCAUGUGUUCCAGGGAGCUAGAAGGCCCUGGAAGAAAGGAGCAAUCCGCUUUGGGAGGGGCCUGCGGCCGAUUAGCUAGUUGGUAGGGUAACGGCCUACCAAGGCGAUGAUCGGUAGCUGGUCUGAGAGGAUGAUCAGCCACACUGGCACUGAAACACGGGCCAGACUCCUACGGGAGGCAGCAGUGAGGAAUAUUGCACAAUGGGCGAAAGCCUGAUGCAGCAACGCCGCGUGGGCGAAGAAGGCCUUCGGGUUGUAAAGCCCUUUUCUGGGGGAAGAGGAAGGACGGUACCUCAGGAAAAAGUCUCGGCUAACUACGUGCCAGCAGCCGCGGUAAGACGUAGGAGGCAAGCGUUAUCCGGAUUUACUGGGCGUAAAGGGCGCGCAGGCGGUGUCGUAAGUUGGACGUGAAAUCUUUCGGCUUAACCGGGAGGCGCCGUUCAAUACUGCGGCACUUGAGGGCAGGAGAGGGGAGUGGAAUUCCCGGUGUAGUGGUAAAAUGCGUAGAUAUCGGGAGGAACACCAGUGGCGAAGGCGGCUCCCUGGCCUGUUCCUGACGCUGAGGCGCGAAAGCGUGGGGAGCGAACGGGAUUAGAUACCCCGGUAGUCCACGCUGUAAACGAUGGGCACUAUGUGUAGGGAGUAUGAAACGCUCUCUGUGCCGUAGCUAACGUGUUAAGUGCCCCGCCCUGGGGACUACGACCGCAGGUUAAAACUCAA